rnacentral:sRNA from 1 species
GUAGUUGUAGUUGUAGUUGGAGCUGUAGUUGUUGCCGCUGCUGUUUUUAGGGUACGCAAAAUGUGUAAUGGCAUUUCGUCAGGCGGAGCAUGAAAAAGCGAGGCGAGCUUUAGUGAUAACCAAGGGCGGGUUAGUGGGAGGCUAGUGGGCGGGAGGAGGAGGCUGCGCAGCCAAAUGUUCCCCCCUCUAUGUGUGUGUGUGUGUGACAAAGGGAAUCCUCCUGCUGGGCUUGCUUUGUCUCCUCCUUCUGCCUCUGCUACCCACCUCCCAUCUUCCCCUCUUUUUCGGUUAUGGUUUUUUGGCUUGCACUUUAAUGCUUUUAUAAUGCACUCUGCAAAAAAGUGACCACAGCCCGAAAUGGCAGAUCGGCGAAAAUAGCAAAAAGUAUUCGGCAAGUUUUCGGCUAAAUUAAAGAGACUUUAGCAGCGUGGAGUCCGGGGCAACUUCAAUUAGGGAUACCGCAUUAUCGGGGCUGGAAUGCAAAUAUUCGAGCGGCACAAGCACGCGCUGCCGAGUGAAAUAUGUUAAUUAAAUUAAGGGCUGGGUGGGGAAUCGAAAAGCGACACCAGCUGCUUGUGGCAUGCCAACAAUGGGCAGCGGGGGCAUGCCAACACCUUCGGCAGCGGCAAAUUCCUCCUCCACCCCCCUCCCUGCGCACUUGACGAGAGAGAAAUGUAAAACACUUUUGGUAUGACAGCUGAAAUGUCAGUUAAGCAUGAAUUGCUGCCAGCAGAGGGUGAAGGUGCAAGCUGGAAGCUGGAAGCUGGAGUCUGGAGUAAUGAGAAUGAGAAUGAGGCGACCUGAGCCGGGUCCGGACUCCGGAGUAGGUCCUUGCUGCGUUCCCAGGUGGGCGGCGUAAACUGACAAGUGCUGAAACGCCUUUUAACUACAGUUUCGUUCUCUGAUUGUCCUGUUUUCCUUCUGCCCGAGUUAAGUGAGUGAGAAACGAAAGAUAAAGAUGCCAAGCGGGAAAUUGCAUUGCAGUCGGCAGUCGGAAGCAGGAAAAGGUGAUGACAAUCGCUUAAUCGAUUGGGAAUUCUGUUUUCUAGCUCAUUACGCUGCAGCAAAACCCCGGCACCAUCAAUAAUAACAAUAAUCCAGAGAGACAGCAAUGAUGGCAGGUAGAAACAAGUAGUCCGCACUGAACGGCAUUGAAUAAAUGCAAGUGCUCAUGUGUGCUACACUGCGUAUACGCAAUGUGCACAGGGAUUGCGAUUUUUUGUUGUGACGAGCAGGGUGGGGAUGCUAGGGAAGCUGGGGAAGCUGGAGGUCCUGCUGCUGCCAUUUUGUUGAUAAGCAACAGCCACAGACAGCAGGGCAGAUGCAAAGAGAAGUAAACAAAAGGCGCCUAAACUGACAAUUGGACGCUUUGUUUAUGGCGUGUCUGUGUAUUAGAGCCCUGGGUGUGUGAUUGCAUCCAGUUACAGGCCGAGUUUGACCUGUCCCCGCCCCUUGACCCUCACCCAGGGGGCGCGGCCGGGCGGUAGCAUAAUGCGGGCCAUCUGUAUGCGUGUACAGUCUCUGUUUAUAUUUGCACCAACACAGCCACGCUGCUUUGUAUCUCAGUGCGUGUCCGUGUGUGUUUGCACCGCCUGCGCUUGACAUAUAAAUAGAGCCACACACACACACUAGCACAAAGUUGUCAAAGUUUACGGGGGAACUCCUUGUACCGGUACGGUCAAGUAAUUCCUCGGCAUAGGUAAAUGUGUACAGUUUAUUAAAUUUGGGUCCCCGACCGAACUGAAGCUAAAGCCAAAGCUGCCCAACUAUUUAUGUCGCCUGUCAUGUAUGUACCUUCCUCCCCGCCCACGCCUACACACACAAACACACAACUACUAAUACUAACACACAUGGGCCAUUGUGCGUCAUUUGCAAAGCCAUGCGCAUCCACAAUCUUUGUUUGUCAAAGUUUUGCACUCGCCUAGGAGAUUUAUUUAGUCGGGCUCACAAAACUUGGAUUUACUUCGACACAAUUGUCAGCUUAGUCACGUUUCAUGUGUCGACGGAUACAGAUCCAGGCGACCAGGAUAUAUAUGGCCCAGGAGGAGCUGGGAGAAAGAAGCCGGGAGCAAGGAGCUACGCUAAUGCUAAACACGACAUAAAGCUUUCAUAACUCUUCUCUCCGCCAUUGUGAUGCUAAUCAUAGAAAAUGGAAACCAGCCCGGCUUACAUAACGCGAGAAGUGAGAAGAAAUUAGCUGCAGCCAACAAGAUGUCCCAUCGAUACCAAAGAUUCGUGAAACAUGUCAACUGUCAUGAUGCCCGACACUUGCCGCCCAACAUUUGUCUCUAUUUCCCUGGCUCCACUGGCCAAUUAUCGGUUAUUUAUACUGCAAUCUGUGGGUCGCGCAGCGUGAAACUGUGAAAUGGAUUUCGAAUUGAUAUGCAGAUGCUAUUGCUGGGGAGAAAUUCGACUGAAUUAUUUGAUAAAAAUGCAGUUUUCCCCGAUUGGGCUCACAGCAGGUGCCGCGGCAGACUUAUCAGCCUCUUCGAAUGUUGCAUAAGGUGCACCUCAACCUGGUGGCCGCCCAGAAAAACAAUCAAAAGCAGCUCCUAACGAACAUCCAUAGCAGGCCUCGUCAGAACAGAACAGAGAAUCCUUUUGCCAGGCCUCAGAAAAAAUGCCAUUCCCUGGCUCAAUUCUGUGUAGGAAGCAUCUGAAUAUGCUCCUCUUCCCCAAGCCCACCUCCAUCCCCAUCCUCAGCCUGCUGUCGUGUACAGUAGCCGCAAGCACAUGUCAGACAAGGAACUGGCAGCGGGCAACAAGGAACACGAGUCGAGGUCUCCGGCUAAUGGCUUUCUGGCUUCGAGAGCCGCGAGUUUCAGUCGCCAGAUGAGCUGGGAGUCCAACAAUCGAGGCGUAUUCACAUUUUUUCCUUAUGCAAUGAUAAUAAAAACGCAGCAUGCGAGGCAGACUGCGAAAUAUAAAUGAAAUAAAUUACUGCGCAGGCGCAGCGGACGAAACGGAGCUUCAAACAAUGACCAUGCCAGGAGGAACUGCAAUUUGAAUGAACGUGCCUCCGUGUGGGCUCUCGUUCCCGUUCCCCGCCCGCCGCAUCGCCAUUACCAUCCCCAUUCCCAUUCCCGAAAAAGAUGCCGGCGUGCAGAGAUCGUGAUAAGCCAUUCGCGUGGAGCAUUCUGGAGUAGCCCGAUGCCGUGUCACGUGGUCAGCUCCGUUCUCAUUUGAAUGCGCAACAAGUUGCAAAAGGGGGAACGAGGAGAACGCCUUCAUGCAACUCCUACGGCUUCAUUUGCCAUUAUCUUGUUGCAGUUGCAGCUCCUCCGCGCUGCUGCGGUUAGUUAGUUCGCUUUAAUUUAUCGCUGCAAACAUUUUGCGGACAUCUUCCCUGCUGCAACCCGCAGCUCAUUCUCCUUUAGCUGGUACCGCCGCAGCUACACCUACAAUGCCACGGGGCAAGUCAAUUGUCCAGUUGCCCCGCGAUCACAAUGUGCAGCCCACUCCCACUCCUACUCCCACUCCACUUCAUCUUCAAUAUGCAUGCAAAUUUGACGCGUUUCCCCUUCUACCGAUGCUACUUUAUUCGCUUAUUGAGUUUUAUUGUGGUUGUCGUUAUCUGCCGUUCUUGGGUUAUCAUUAUGUUUACUGCAGUCAUUGUUCGCCCUCAAGAUGCUGCGUUGCCUCAAGACCCUAAGACUUGGCACUCGGACUCGCUCAAGUUGAUCUUUAUGAGGUGCGAUCUUCAUGGAUGGCUUCGUCGAAAAACUACGGCUACUUUUUAUAGAGAAUGCGGCCGAGAUUGGGAUACCCUUCAUUUCCUGUCCAUGUCUCUCUGUCUAUUUCAGAGUUCAUUUGUAUCCAAAACAGUUCCGAUGGGCCAGUAGCCUAUCGCCCUCGGCUCAGGACUGGAGCCAAGCGAAACCGACUAAUACAAAUGCUUGCCGGCUUAUCUGCACAUGCCAGGACUCCAGGAGCCAUACAGACUUGUCAGUGUUUACCACUUUCAGUGCACUUGUGUUGCCCGACUUCCGGUCAACGAACUAAACCGAUUCCGAGCAGCCACGGGACUCAAGAGCCCGGGGGUCCAGGAUUUAUGCCUUAUGCUUUGCUUGGGCUUGUUCAGAGCUUAUAAUCUUGCCACUCGAAUCGCUAAGCAGCGCCAGCUGGGGCAGGAGCAGGAGCCGGAGAUCCUUCACUCGACCACUACACAGCUGCACUUAAUUUAGCCUUAAUUAAUUGACCUGCAGUAGAGUCGAGUAUUUCCUUCUUUCCGUUCCAACCCACUCAAACCAAUCCUCGGCUCUUCGUUGGCCUGCACAUUUUUCGCUUCCCGGUUUUGCGCAAAUGUUUUGUGUGCAUGCAAAUCGUUCAUUCGUUCAUUCCCACAUUCAUUCAUUCAUUCAUUCAGCCAGUCAGUCAGUCAGUCUGGUAGCCAUUGAGUCGGUUCGUGGUCAGCUCCAUUCAGAUCCAAGUGGCGGUGCCGACCACUCCAGUGGCCCACUUGAGCAGGACCUGGCCCAGGCUCAUUUCUUUUGAAUUUGAAUUUAAUUUUUGUACUCGUUAUACUAGUACAUAUACCCGUUCCGAUUCACCGAUUGUUGUUAGUCGGAGUCGAGAUCGACGUUCUGAUAGGAGCACGCACUACUCCGCGAUUAAUUCCUGCGGCUUAAGGGAAUGGGCCGGAGAUCGAUAAACGAAUUUGUUCAGCUAGGUCGAACGGACCGGAGCUCAAGCCCUUCGCUCUUGAUAAAUAACGUGUUUAAUUAAUAGAGCGGCUGAGGCAGCGCAGGAUGGGAAGAUGCGGCAAACUGGGUCAACGGUUUCGUGUGAAUGCCGCAUUAUGGCCAGCCGGACAGCGACUAAUUAAACCAAGGGCAUCUCUGGAUAAGAGCCAGCGGAACCAGCAGAUUCUGAAGCACUCCGCUCCACUUUGGCUCCACCGGUGCCCCCUUCUCUGUCUUCUGGCCAACGAUGAUGACAGCGCCGCUGUGGUUGAACUCAUUCGCAGAACACUUAAUGCUCACUAAUGAAAUGUCAGCUUAAGUCAUAACUCAAAUGCAGCACACAAAGAGGUCUGGAGACCGCUACCCACAUUCAUUCCUUCCGCGGCAGAGUCUAUGACAUGGCCAGGGCGCCAGAAGCUUUCGGCCUGACCAUUGGCUUUUUAAAUAUGACAUGCAUUUGCGGGAUUUGUACGAGUGUGCCUUGGGUCUCGGCGUAAUGUCCAUUGUAAUUGAUAAGUUUUGUUUCCUGUCGGCCAUUUUUGCUUACGCGGCUAAGGGAGAUUGAUGAUACCUUGAAGGACUUUCCGGAGCACCCACCCUCCCUCCUCCAUCCAUUUCCGGAUGAACUUGAGCUUUUUCGGAUAAUUGUAGUCUGCCCGAAUGAAAUGAUGAAAAGUUUUCGCAAGUCCUUGCCACUGCCACCCAUCUGUCGGCCAGUUGAUUGAUGAAUUGAUAAAUAUCUAGUUGAGAGCCGGCUGCGGGUGGCCAAGGCCCCACUGCCGCGGAGAUUGCUACAGACAGCCGGAUAGAGGCAUCCUUAUUAUUAUUGCGUUAUUAUUAAAGCGUUUUUAAUGCUAAAUGUCAAAUGCAGGACAGAUAAGCAGACCCGAGCUGUCAAUGCGCAAGCAUCCAGGAUAAAUGGUGCUCCUGCAGCAGGAGAAAAACCUCGGACGUUGGGCUACAGAGAAAUCAUUACUAAAUGAGCAUGUUCAGUGGGAGAAGGACCCCUGAUAGAGUCCUUCCCCAGUUAUCUCCACGACGUCGUCUCCGCCUGUCUCCGUCUGAGCUGCAAAUCCCACUUAAAAUCCGCUCCGUUUACGAAAAUCUAAUGAUGAUUAAUUACCGCCACAGAGGAGAGUCCGGCCUUCUCCAUUGGCAUGCUGGUUCAAGUUGAGGUUUUCCCUUCGCCGGUUGGGGGCAGAGCUAAGUACGUCGUAUAUAGUUGCCAAGUGGGCGGGGCGGAAAGCGGUGGGCACGUGACGCGCCACGAUUGGUCAGCUCCUUUCUGAGUCAUCUUGUCCGUGUCCGGCCGUGGGUCAUGGCCUUGCACUCCCGCUGGCCUGGUCAUUAUCGCAGUGGAACAAGAAAGUAAUUAAUAUGCCCAACUUUCGAUUGCUGUUAGUGUCAGUUGGGGAACUACUCUCCGUCAGCUUAGCCAAGGCCAAGUCAAAGUUAAAUGUGAGAGAGCUGGAGAGUUUUUCACAAAAUGCAACAUUGGGUAACAAAUGCAAUUAUUAUAGAUUAUUGAGAUGGCCACGGAACCUCGGCGGAACCUCAUUGUCGAGGCCAAUCAACUGCCCGCGGACUGUAACUAACCGGCUCUUUGGGGUCGAUUAUGUGUCAAUUAAAAACCAUUUUCAUGCUAAUGGCACUGCCAAAUUCACGAAAUUUAUCAAAUUUAGCUUUCCCAUAAUGCAAUCGUUUCAACACGCAACCAAAACUUGCAUUCCAAAUCAGAUGUACGAGAGCUGGCAUAUAAAAUAUUUUCAGCCUGCCUCCCCUGUUGGUCAAAACAAAUGCUGCUGGGUGAGGAGUACAAAACGCUAAUUUGUUUUUAAUAUGCGGCAUGUACAAGAAUUAUGGAAACAUUAUGGAUAACCCCGGUUGAUUGGCUGCUCAAAAAUUCAUAGAUCGCAAAGUGUUUCGUCGUUAACACUCUACGCGGAGCUGGAGAUUCGGCCAAGUCGCAAGCGUGCUUGGUCUUAACAAUGUUAUUAAAAUUAAUAUAAAUGACUCGCCACAGGCAGGGGGUUCUGCCAUCUUUACCAUCACUUGGGUUCGGCUCACAGGUAGUAGCGGCUGUCUUGGAAACCGUUCAAUGCUCUCUCGCUCCUCAAGAAGUGGCUGUAACGCCUGGCCACAGUAAUUAAUUAUAUGGAACUCUGUUCUCCCUUUCGACCCAUGUUCUACGAAGAAUUCGUAAAAAGAAACGGCUUGCGACCGCCUCUCAGCCCACCUUUUUCUAUUGUCUAAACAAUUUUUGUCGGACGCUCUGUCUUCUAAUGAGCGGGUUCUGGGUGCGAGGCAUAGAAAAUUCGCUUGUAACGAGUUUUAUUAAUUAAAAUAUGGCCUGAGCGACGGAGGGAAUAGCGCCAUUUAAGCCGAUUUGGCCUCAGAUCCGAGUUGUUUGUUAUGGUAACGAGUGUAAAUUUCAUGGCAAU